AAGGGAAACUGACGACCUCGGGAGCUGUCAGGUGCUGCAUGGCUGUCGUCAGCUCGUGUCGUGAGAUGUUCGGUUAAGUCCGCUAACGAGCGCAACCCUCGCUGUGUGUUACAAGUGUCACACGGAACUGCCGGUCAUAAACCGGAGGAAGGUGGGGAUGACGUCAAGUCAGCAUGGCCUUUAUAUCCUGGGCUACACACACGCUACAAUGGGAAGGGACAAUAGGUUGCGAAGCCGCGAGGCGGAGCCAAUCCAGCAAAACUUCCCUCAGUUCAGAUUGCAGGCUGCAACCCGCCUGCAUGAAGUUGGGGUUGCUAGUAAACGCAGGUCAGCCAUACUGCGUUGAAUACGUUCCCGGGGCUU
rnacentral:rRNA from 1 species